rnacentral:rRNA from 1 species
UACGUAGGCAGCGAGCGUUGUUCGGAGUUACUGGGCGUAAAGGGUGUGUAGGCGGUCCUCUAAGUUUGGUGUGAAAUCUCCCGGCUCAACCGGGAGGGUGCGCCGAAAACUGGGGGGCUAGAGUGCGGGAUGGGUAAGUGGAAUUCCUGGUGUAGCGGUGAAAUGCGUAGAUAUCUGGAGGAAUACCGGUGGCGAAGGCGGCAUCCUGGACCGACAUUGACGCUGAGGAGCGAAAGCUAGGGGAGCAAACGGG